GACGAACGCUGGCGGCGUGCUUAACACAUGCAAGUCGAACGGAAAGGCCCUGCUUUUGUGGGGUGCUCGAGUGGCGAACGGGUGAGUAACACGUGAGUAACCUGCCCUUGACUUUGGGAUAACUUCAGGAAACUGGGGCUAAUACCGGAUAGGAGCUCCUGCUGCAUGGUGGGGGUUGGAAAGUUUCGGCGGUUGGGGAUGGACUCGCGGCUUAUCAGCUUGUUGGUGGGGUAGUGGCUUACCAAGGCUUUGACGGGUAGCCGGCCUGAGAGGGUGACCGGCAACAUUGGGACUGAGAUACGGCCCAGACUCCUACGGGAGGCAGCAGUGGGGAAUAUUGCAGAAUGGGCGGAAGCCUGAUGCAGCAACGCCGCGUGCGGGAUGACGGCCUUCGGGUUGUAAACCGCUUUCGCAUGUGACGAAGCGUGAGUAACGGUAAUGGGUAAAGAAGCACCGGCUAACUACGUG
rnacentral:rRNA from 1 species